rnacentral:rRNA from 1 species
AUAGAACGCUGGCGGCAUGCCUUACACAUGCAAGUCGAACGGCAGCACGGGUGCUUGCACCUGGUGGCGAGUGGCGAACGGGUGAGUAAUACAUCGGAACAUGUCCUGUAGUGGGGGAUAGCCCGGCGAAAGCCGGAUUAAUACCGCAUACGAUCUACGGAUGAAAGCGGGGGACCUUCGGGCCUCGCGCUAUAGGGUUGGCCGAUGGCUGAUUAGCUAGUUGGUGGGGUAAAGGCCUACCAAGGCGACGAUCAGUAGCUGGUCUGAGAGGACGACCAGCCAAACGGGGACUGAGACACGGCCCAGACUCCUACGGGAGGCAGCAGUGGGGAAUUUUGGACAAUGGGCGAAAGCCUGAUCCAGCAAUGCCGCGUGUGUGAAGAAGGCCUUCGGGCUGUAAAGCGCUUUUGUCCGGAAAGAAAUCCUUGGCUCUAAUACAGUCGGGGGAUGACGGUACCGGAAGAAUAAGCACCGGCUAACUACGUGCCAGCAGCCGCCGUAA